CCCAAGGGAUGGCUGGAAGCCACGGGCGGGGGGGCUCGUGGGCCCCUGGGGACUGUGUCAUCACACGGGGACCUGUGAACCCUCACCCACAUUGCUGCACGUCCCGUCAGUCACCCUGACAUCUCUACCUCUCCUAUGGGAGCGCCCUGUGUCAUGCAGGUCCGCGGCAGGGUGCAUGUCGGGGUUUGGGGAAGGGUGGAGCAGAGACAGGUCCUGAGCAGGACAUGGAGGGGCUCCACAGUCUGUACUGUGACAUCCCAGACGGGUGGAGGUGGCAUGAACGGCGCGCCCAGAGCAGGAAGAGCACUGUGCACAGCCAGAUAGGAGUGAGGACAGACACUAGUGGAAAUCGGGGCACAGAGGGGUGCACCUGGGAGCUGGGCCAUGGGCUCUGCACGAUCUGUUGCUCAGCACCCCCAGGGCCGGCCUGAGCAGCCCCUAUGCGUGGACCACCUUCCGUCUCUUCCAGUGCCCCGUCACCGGACUCAAGGUGCAUCCUUGUACUGACCUGGGAGAUGGCAAGACUGUGGACCCACUGGCUGGACAGACACCAAGGCCUAGAGUGACACAAUUCAAACAGAGGCCUGGCAUCAGGAGCUGGGGAGUGGAAGGGCCUAGCAGAGGGCCACGUGGGCUGUCCUAGGCCCACUCCAGCCAAAGCGUGGCAAAGCGUAUGGCCAGCAUGACCAGGGAAUGGCCUUGCUACGUGUACGGGAAGAGGGGCUAAAGGAUAUUGAGGGAGGAAUGGGGGGCCUAGGGUCCUCAAAGGCCCUGGCCACACCCUCUUUUGGCUCUCUGGCCCUCAGUUCUGGGAGCCUAUGGGUGCCCGGUCACCCCACCUAGUCCGGAGAGGGACCUUGCACACCCUGCAGGUGAAUUGGAGGUUUCCUGCAGUGUGGUGACCUGUGGAGGCAGGCAGAACAGCUGUGGAGGACAUCUGAGCCUCUCCUAGAGGGCUGAGCCUGAACACAGCAGCCCUGGCAUUGAGACCACCCUGGCAGCUCCCGGGACCCUCUGCCAUGCUGCCGGUCUGAGGAUGCCAUUCUUCUGGAGGCAAAGUGGGGGCCGCUUGGUUCUGAGCGUUUUUAUCUCCCAGUUAGUUCUAGGAGGGCAAUCCUCCCAUCCCCAAAUCCUGAUCCAGAUGAGCUGAGCUAGAGGUUAGCACAGGGUAGACGGCAGCAAGCUUGUCCUUAUGGUCCGUACUCCAGAACAGUUGUUCACAGAGGUCCUGCGUUUUCUUCAAGACAAAACCCACCUAGGCCAGAUGUAGCCAGAUCACUGUGGGUUCUUGGAUUUCUCUAAAGAUCUGACCUGGUGACAGACUGUUGCUGGAGGCCCUGAAGGCCUGGGGCCUGGCCACAGCAGUGUAGUUAUCUUUGCUGAGUUGGGCUGGGCUGAGCAGGGCUUCUGUCCUCAGCGUUAGCACUCAGGUCUGGCUGAACCCCCACCCCACCCUCAGGGCUCUGGGCAGGGGAAGGGUCAAGGACAGGGCUGGAGGUGCAGUUCGCAGGGGAGUCACACCUGUGGUCAUCCUGAGUCAUAGCACUCUGCCUGGCCUGUGCUCUCCCAGCAGGCUGCAGGGCCUGAGCUAUGGAGCCGGAUCAUCAUGGCUCCGGAUGCGUCUGGGGUCUCCAAGAGGCAGAAGUGCUGAUCCCUGGCUCCAAACCUGGCACGGCCACAGCAAGGGAGCACUACUAAACCCCGGACCGAACCCCAGGAAGGAAACUGGAUUCAACAGCCCUUCCAGAGUCUGCAGUAGGCUCCCUGCCUUGCACCUAGUAGGGUGUGCCUGGGGCUAAGAACAAGUUCUCAAGGGGGCCCAGCUCCUCCACUAUAAUUUUAAAGCAAACUUCCACAUUUGAUGGUUGUCCAAACUUGGCAGCCCAAUUUGUAAAAUUCACUAUCUGAAGUGAGAAGUACGUUUUCCUCUGUGCUCCGGGCAGGGCAGAUCCCCUCUGCAUGUGAAUGCCACCGUGCACCAUCUCCGGAGGUGACACAUGCCACUCUGCACGGCAAGUGGUGCUCGGGAGGGCAGUGGAAGCUGAGCAGGCAGGCACGUCCCCAGGUAAGGGGACACACUCCUUCCACAGAGAGACCUGGACGCGGGGGACAGAAGCCUGACGGCACAGCACAAACACUUCAAGUGCGGCAGAGCAGCACCACCCGGCAUCUCUGGUGCCACCCCGGCCCAAGACCCGCAGCUAAAGGAGAAAGCAGGAGCCAGAGAGAAGGCCUUGGUCAGGCAGGCAGACUUGGGUGUGUUCUGCUUUCCCACUUCAGAAAGACUCGCUGAGGUCUGGUUGAGUGAAGACAGACGAGACACGCACAACCGCAGACUUAGACCAAGUAUACAUUUGAGUUUCUACAAGGCCCCCAUCACGUUUAGGGAAAUACAGCUCAAGUGUAUACAAAUUACACUGAUAGUAUAUACAAAAGUAUUUGCUACAUUUUUUGAACAAUACCAGCUAUUUAAUUUGCAGUAAAUAGAACGUUACAAAACCAGUCCAGUAAUGCAUUUUCUAUUAAGCACAUUAUACAACAUAAUUCAAUUUUAUUAAACAUUAACUUCAAAAUAAGACCAGUCCUCUGUAGGAAGAAAAGCUACUUCUGUAAUUCACUUAGUAAACACACAAGUCCAACACUGCAGCAGGGCCAGCCUUUUCUGAGGAAAAGCAGAGGCUUCAGGGGCCUCCCUUUUGGGAUAAAAUCCUACCCGCCCACAGCUGUGAUGGGCAGAGGCGCUGCCCAGGUACAUAGGAUUCCAGAGCCCCCCCGCCAUUGCCUGUGACAACCGUCCUCACAACUGCUGAUGUAAUCACACGGACCCUUAAGAUCCAAGGGAGGCAGAGAUGCGGAGUGCGCCAGCCAAGGGCUCAGGAGCCAGGUAGAAGGGAAGCAGAGCCUCCUGAGCCUUCCUUGAGGGCGAGGCCACUGAGCCCCGCCUUCAGCCUUGGAGAGCCUGAGCAGAGAACCCAGCCAGACCACGCAGCCCUGGGGCCGGCACAGAACACAAGUGUGCUCCUUAAGCUGCAAGACGUGGCUCAUUUGUCACACCAGGCAACAAAGAGCUAACACACUGCCAGGAGUCACUUCCUUCAUCUAACAGAUCUGGCAGUUUGUGUUCAGGCUUGGAAUGCAUUUUUCCUCUCCAGCUGCUAUAUUAAAACAGUAUCCUCCUUUGCAGGCAACUUUUGAAAAGCCUUAAUAUGAACCACACGUUGUUUUAUGUUCAUUCUCAAGUCAGUUCCGACAUCUGACUCAGUUCUGUUUUCUCAGGAACUGCUAUCUGCUACCAAGGUAAACAGCUGCCCACCAGCCUUGUUCACAUAGUGCCUCCUGCAGGGACCGAGCCCAGGACCUCGCUCUACUUCAGAGCUCCACUGCUGCCCCUGGACAGCAGCUCUGACACAUCUCCUGUCAUCCCCCAGCUGGGGGGUCUCUGCUACUUCCCAGACAUGCCAAGCAAAGGCUUGGGGCAGGAGAGCACAGACUUCAACACUGGGCACCUGAAGGACUUCCCCAGCAUAACUGGACUAAAUUGGCACCAAGGUGAUUAAGUACACUUGGGGAAAAACUGCAAACAUAAGAUUUUAAAAAAACACACCAGUUUUUACAGGUCGAGUCAUUUUUGGAAGAACCACGCAAAGCCAUGAACCAGGGUCCCUGUGGCCCCUGGAUGGACUCCUCAUGUCUCUGCCCUGGGUUUCCUGGUUCACAGGUGGCUUCACUCAGCUGGCAGGGACUCAGCAGAAACAGGA